CGGGGCGUAGCUCAGUCAGGUAGAGCGCUGGCUUUGGGAGCAAGAAGUCGGAGGUUCAAAUCCUCUUGCCCCGA
rnacentral:tRNA from 1 species